rnacentral:rRNA from 1 species
GACGAACGCUGGCGGCGUGCCUAAUACAUGCAAGUCGAGCGAAUGGAAGGGAGCUUGCUCCCUGAAGUUAGCGGCGGACGGGUGAGUAACACGUGGGCAACCUGCCUGUAAGACUGGGAUAACUUCGGGAAACCGGAGCUAAUACCGGAUACGUUCUUUCCUCGCAUGAGGAAAGAUGGAAAGAUGGUUUCGGCUAUCACUUACAGAUGGGCCCGCGGCGCAUUAGCAAGUUGGUGGGGUAAUGGCCCACCAAGGCGACGAUGCGUAGCCGACCUGAGAGGGUGAUCGGCCACACUGGGACUGAGACACGGCCCAGACUCCUACGGGAGGCAGCAGUAGGGAAUCUUCCGCAAUGGACGAAAGUCUGACGGAGCAACGCCGCGUGAGCGAAGAAGGCCUUCGGGUCGUAAAGCUCUGUUGUCAGGGAAGAACAAGUGCCAGAGUAACUGCUGGCACCUUAACGGUACCUGACCAGAAAGCCACGGCUAACUACGUGCCAGCCGCCGCGGUAA